AUCUGGUGCCGAAGAUCCCGGGAAUUCUACAACAUUGCCGGCAUGGAGGAGGUCCCCCGGAAACGGGGCGGGUCCAGAACUGCAGUGGAAAGUUCAGAGAGACAUGCUUAACCGAGGAAGAUAAUCCCUUUUGGAUUCCGGAGCGCCUCACUCGAAGGAUCCAGCUCUUGGACAAUGAGUCACAGGAACAAGAUCCCAAGACAUUGAUGGAUCAUACUCCUCAUGCUGGACAUUCUGGUUCCUAGUAUAUCUGGAGAGUUAAGAUGGGGAAUUAUGUCAACUUUCCCUCUUCCUAUGCCAGUUUAUGCAUAAUGCACAAAUAUUUCCAUGCUUUUUCACUACAGAUAAAGAACUGGGACUUGCUUAUUUACCCUUAGAUGAACAGAUUCAGGCUUUAUUAGAAAAUAGAACCUUCUUCCUACAGGGAAGCCUGUGCUUUAUGUUAAUUUUCUCAUUACAAGAUAAGAGCCAAUGUAUAUCCUUGCAUUAUCAAUCAGCAGCCUGGUUAAGAAAGAGCUCUUGGGGCGUAACGACUGAUAUAAAGGCUGAUACCAUAGUUAUAAGAGGAUGGUGGCCCAGCCGAAAAGGUGGAAGAUCUAGAAAUAAGCUGUCUUCACAACCAAGAAUGGCACCCUUUUGCAAGGAAAGGUCCAUGGAAGAUGUAAUGUUACCUUGGACAGGUUGCCAAGCUAAAAAAUAUACUUGGGCAGUAGAGAAAUAUUUUUCCUUUUCCCCAUAUAUUAGUAGAGAGUAUAAUGAUACUUUUGCUGGAUAUAAUUUUAGUACUAUGGAGCCCCUUUAAACUAAUACUAACCCUUUUGAUCAUGAUCUCGCCCCCAUGGCAAUGAUUGGAGGAGGUUCUAGUGAGAAAGGAGAAUUGACCUUUGAUUGGAAAGGUACCUUGAAGACCG
rnacentral:lncRNA from 1 species